GGGGGCAUAGCUCAGCUGGGAGAGCAGCAGACUGAAGUAAAGUAGAAGUGCCUGGUCACUCAUGCUUAAUUCUGAAGGUCCCGCGUUCGAUCCGCGGUGCCCCCA